rnacentral:rRNA from 1 species
UACGUAGGGGGCAAGCGUUGUCCGGAAUUACUGGGCGUAAAGGGCUCGUAGGCGGCCAACUAAGUCGGAUGUGAAAUCCCCAGGCUCAACCUGGGAACUGCAUCCGAUACUGGAUGGCUUGAAUCCGGGAGAGGGAUGCAGAAUUCCAGGUGUAGCGGUGAAAUGCGUAGAUAUCUGGAGGAAUACCGGUGGCGAAGGCGGCAUCCUGGACCGGCAUUGACGCUGAGGAGCGAAAGCUAGGGGAGCAAACGGG